UUAAGCGACCAAGCGUACACGGUGGAUGCCCUGGCAGUCAGAGGCGAUGAAGGACGUGCUAAUCUGCGAAAAGCGCCGGUAAGGUGAUAUGAACCGUUAUAACCGGCGAUGUCCGAAUGGGGAAACCCAGUGUGACUCGUCACACUAUCAUUAACUGAAUCCAUAGGUUAAUGAGGCGAACCGGGGGAACUGAAACAUCUAAGUACCCCGAGGAAAAGAAAUCAACCGAGAUUCCCCCAGUAGCGGCGAGCGAACGGGGAGGAGCCCAGAGCCUGAAUCAGUAUGUGUGUUAGUGGAAGCGUCUGGAAAGGCGCGCGAUACAGGGUGACAGCCCCGUACACAAAAGCGCAUGUGCUGUGAGCUCGAUGAGUAGGGCGGGACACGUGGUAUCCUGUCUGAAUAUGGGGGGACCAUCCUCCAAGGCUAAAUACUCCUGACUGACCGAUAGUGAACCAGUACCGUGAGGGAAAGGCGAAAAGAACCCCGGCGAGGGGAGUGAAACAGAACCUGAAACCGUGUACGUACAAGCAGUGGGAGCAUGAGUUUACUCAUGUGACUGCGUACCUUUUGUAUAAUGGGUCAGCGACUUAUAUUCUGUAGCAAGGUUAACCGUAUAGGGGAGCCGGAGGGAAACCGAGUCUUAACCGGGCGUUAAGUUGCAGGGUAUAGACCCGAAACCCGGUGAUCUAGCCAUGGGCAGGUUGAAGGUUGGGUAACACUAACUGGAGGACCGAACCGACUAAUGUUGAAAAAUUAGCGGAUGACCUGUGGCUGGGGGUGAAAGGCCAAUCAAACCGGGAGAUAGCUGGUUCUCCCCGAAAGCUAUUUAGGUAGCGCCUCGUGAAUUCAUCUCCGGGGGUAGAGCACUGUUUCGGCCAGGGGGCCAUCCCGGCUUACCAACCCGAUGCAAACUGCGAAUACCGGAGAAUGUUAUCACGGGAGACACACGGCGGGUGCUAACGUCCGUCGUGAAGAGGGAAACAACCCAGACCGCCAGCUAAGGUCCCAAAGUCAUGGUUAAGUGGGAAACGAUGUGGGAAGGCCCAGACAGCCAGGAUGUUGGCUUAGAAGCAGCCAUCAUUUAAAGAAAGCGUAAUAGCUCACUGGUCGAGUCGGCCUGCGCGGAAGAUGUAACGGGGCUAAACCAUGCACCGAAGCUGCGGCAGCGACACUGUGUGUCGUUGGGUAGGGGAGCGUUCUGUAAGCCUGCGAAGGUGGCCUGUGAGGGUUGCUGGAGGUAUCAGAAGUGCGAAUGCUGACAUAAGUAACGAUAAUGCGGGUGAAAAACCCGCACGCCGGAAGACCAAGGGUUCCUGUCCAACGUUAAUCGGGGCAGGGUGAGUCGACCCCUAAGGCGAGGCCGAAAGGCGUAGUCGAUGGGAAACGGGUUAAUAUUCCCGUACCUGGUGUUACUGCGAAGGGGGGACGGAGAAGGCUAUGUUGGCCGGGCGACGGUUGUCCCGGUUUAAGCGUGCAGGCUGGUUUUCCAGGCAAAUCCGGAAAAUCAAGGCUGAGGCGUGACGACGAGGCACUACGGUGCUGAAGCAACAAAUGCCCUGCUUCCAGGAAAAGCCUCUAAGCCUCAGGUAACAUCAGAUCGUACCCGAAACCGACACAGGUGGUCAGGUAGAGAAUACCAAGGCGCUUGAGAGAACCCGGGUGAAGGAACUAGGCAAAAUGGUGCCGUAACUUCGGGAGAAGGCACGCUGACAUGUAAGUGAAGCGGUUUACCCGUGGAGCUGAAGUCAGUCGAAGAUACCAGCUGGCUGCAACUGUUUAUUAAAAACACAGCACUGUGCAAACACGAAAGUGGACGUAUACGGUGUGACGCCUGCCCGGUGCCGGAAGGUUAAUUGAUGGGGUCAGCGCAAGCGAAGCUCCUGAUCGAAGCCCCGGUAAACGGCGGCCGUAACUAUAACGGUCCUAAGGUAGCGAAAUUCCUUGUCGGGUAAGUUCCGACCUGCACGAAUGGCGUAAUGAUGGCCAGGCUGUCUCCACCCGGGACUCAGUGAAAUUGAACUCGCUGUGAAGAUGCAGUGUACCCGCGGCAAGACGGAAAGACCCCGUGAACCUUUACUAUAGCUUGACACUGAACACUGGUCCUUGAUGUGCAGGAUAGGUGGGAGGCUUUGAAGUGUGGACGCCAGUCUGCAUGGAGCCGUCCUUGAAAUACCACCCUUUAAUGGCUGGUGUUCUAACGUAGACCCGUGAACCGGGUUGCGGACAGUGUCUGGUGGGUAGUUUGACUGGGGCGGUCUCCUCCUAAAGCGUAACGGAGGAGCACGAAGGUUGGCUAAUCCUGGUCGGACAUCAGGAGGUUAGUGCAAUGGCAUAAGCCAGCUUGACUGCGAGCGUGACGGCGCGAGCAGGUGCGAAAGCAGGUCAUAGUGAUCCGGUGGUUCUGAAUGGAAGGGCCAUCGCUCAACGGAUAAAAGGUACUCCGGGGAUAACAGGCUGAUACCGCCCAAGAGUUCAUAUCGACGGCGGUGUUUGGCACCUCGAUGUCGGCUCAUCACAUCCUGGGGCUGAAGUAGGUCCCAAGGGUAUGGCUGUUCGCCAUUUAAAGUGGUACGCGAGCUGGGUUUAGAACGUCGUGAGACAGUUCGGUCCCUAUCUGCCGUGGGCGCUGGAGAACUGAGGGGGGCUGCUCCUAGUACGAGAGGACCGGAGUGGACGCAUCACUGGUGUUCGGGUUGUCAUGCCAAUGGCACUGCCCGGUAGCUAAAUGCGGAAGAGAUAAGUGCUGAAAGCAUCUAAGCACGAAACUUGCCCCGAGAUGAGUUCUCCCUGAGACUACAAGUCUCCUGAAGGAACGUUGAAGACGACGACGUUGAUAGGCCGGGUGUGUAAGCGCAGCGAUGCGUUGAGCUAACCGGUACUAAUGAACCGUGAGGCUUAACCUU
rnacentral:rRNA from 1 species